UAGAAUUCCACGUGUAGCGGUGAAAUGCGUAGAGAUGUGGAGGAAUACCGGUGGCGAAGGCGGCCUUCUGGACAGAUACUGACGCUGAGAUGCGAAAGCGUGGGGAGCAAACAGGAUUAGAUACCCUGGUAGUCCACGCUGUAAACGAUGUCGAUUUGGAGUUUGUUGCCUAGAGUGAUGGGCUCCGAAGCUAACGCGAUAAAUCGACCGCCUGGGGAGUACGGCCGCAAGGUUAAAACUCAAAUGAAUUGACGGGGGCCCGCACAAGCGGUGGAGCAUGUGGUUUAAUUCGAUGCAACGCGAAGAACCUUACCUGGUCUUGACAUCCACAGAAUCUUGCAGAGAUGUGAGAGUGCCUUCGGGAACUGUGAGACAGGUGCUGCAUGGCUGUCGUCAGCUCGUGUUGUGAAAUGUUGGGUUAAGUCCCGCAACGAGCGCAACCCUUAUCCUUUGUUGCCAUUGGUUCGGCCGGGAACUCAAAGGAGACUGCCGUUGAUAAAGCGGAGGAAGGUGGGGACGACGUCAAGUCAUCAUGGCCCUUACGACCAGGGCUACACACGUGCUACAAUGGCGUAUACAAAGGGAGGCGACCUCGCGAGAGCAAGCGGACCUCAUAAAGUACGUCUAAGUCCGGAUUGGAGUCUGCAACUCGACUCCAUGAAGUCGGAAUCGCUAGUAAUCGUGAAUCAGAAUGU
rnacentral:rRNA from 1 species